UAGCUCAGUAACACGUGGCCAAACUACCCUAUGGAUCCGAAUAACCUCGGGAAACUGAGGCUAAUUCGGAAUACGAAUCCCAGGCUGGAACUGCCGGGAUUCCGAAACGUUACGGCGCCAUAGGAUGUGGCUGCGGCCGAUUAGGUAGACGGUGGGGUAACGGCCCACCGUGCCGAUAAUCGGUACGGGUUGUGAGAGCAAGAGCCCGGAGACGGUAUCUGAGACAAGAUACCGGGCCCUACGGGGCGCAGCAGGCGCGAAACCUUUACACUGCACGCGAGUGCGAUAAGGGGACUCCAAGUGCGAGGGCAUAUCGUCCUCGCUUUUCGCGACCGUAAGGUGGUCGCAGAAUAAGUGCUGGGCAAGACCGGUGCCAGCCGCCGCGGUAAUACCGGCAGCACAAGUGAUGACCGCUAUUAUUGGGCCUAAAGCGUCCGUAGCUGGCCAGCCAAGUCCAUCGGGAAAUCCGCGCGCUUAACGCGCGGGCGUCCGGUGGAAACUGGAUGGCUUGGGACCGGAAGACCAGAGGGGUACGUCCGGGGUAGGAGUGAAAUCCCGUAAUCCUGGACGGACCACCGGUGGCGAAAGCGCCUCUGGAAGACGGAUCCGACGGUGAGGGACGAAAGCUCGGGUCACGAACCGGAUUAGAUACCCGGGUAGUCCGAGCUGUAAACGAUGUCUGCUAGGUGUGACACAGGCUACG
rnacentral:rRNA from 1 species